AAGGCUAUGUUGGCCGGGCGACGGUUGUCCCGGUUUAAGCGUGUAGGUGUGUGUUCCAGGUAAAUCCGGUUCACUUUAACACUGAGGCGUGAUGACGAGGCACUACGGUGCUGAAGCAACAAAUGCCCUGCUUCCAGGAAAAGCCUCUAAGCAUCAGGUAACAUCAAAUCGUACCCCAAACCGACACAGGUGGUCAGGUAGAGAAUACCAAGGCGCUUGAGAGAACUCGGGUGAAGGAACUAGGCAAAAUGGUGCCGUAACUUCGGGAGAAGGCACGCUGACACGUAGGUGAAGUGAUUUACUCACGGAGCUGAAGUCAGUCGAAGAUACCAGCUGGCUGCAACUGUUUAUUAAAAACACAGCACUGUGCAAACACGAAAGUGGACGUAUACGGUGUGACGCCUGCCCGGUGCCGGAAGGUUAAUUGAUGGGGUCAGCGCAAGCGAAGCUCCUGAUCGAAGCCCCGGUAAACGGCGGCCGUAACUAUAACGGUCCUAAGGUAGCGAAAUUCCUUGUCGGGUAAGUUCCGACCUGCACGAAUGGCGUAAUGAUGGCCAGGCUGUCUCCACCCGAGACUCAGUGAAAUUGAACUCGCUGUGAAGAUGCAGUGUACCCGCGGCAAGACGGAAAGACCCCGUGAACCUUUACUAUAGCUUGACACUGAACAUUGAGCCUUGAUGUGUAGGAUAGGUGGGAGGCUUUGAAGUGUGGACGCCAGUCUGCAUGGAGCCGACCUUGAAAUACCACCCUUUAAUGUUUGAUGUUCUAACGUGGACCCGUAAUCCGGGUUGCGGACAGUGUCUGGUGGGUAGUUUGACUGGGGCGGUCUCCUCCUAAAGAGUAACGGAGGAGCACGAAGGUUGGCUAAUCCUGGUCGGACAUCAGGAGGUUAGUGCAAUGGCAUAAGCCAGCUUGACUGCGAGCGUGACGGCGCGAGCAGGUGCGAAAGCAGGUCAUAGUGAUCCGGUGGUUCUGAAUGGAAGGGCCAUCGCUCAACGGAUAAAAGGUACUCCGGGGAUAACAGGCUGAUACCGCCCAAGAGUUCAUAUCGACGGCGGUGUUUGGCACCUCGAUGUCGGCUCAUCACAUCCUGGGGCUGAAGUAGGUCCCAAGGGUAUGGCUGUUCGCCAUUUAAAGUGGUACGCGAGCUGGGUUUAGAACGUCGUGAGACAGUUCGGUCCCUAUCUGCCGUGGGCGCUGGAGAACUGAGGGGGGCUGCUCCUAGUACGAGAGGACCGGAGUGGACGCAUCACUGGUGUUCGGGUUGUCAUGCCAAUGGCACUGCCCGGUAGCUAAAUGCGGAAGAGAUAAGUGCUGAAAGCAUCUAAGCACGAAACUUGCCCCGA
rnacentral:rRNA from 1 species